UACGGAGGAUGCGAGCGUUAUCCGGAUUUAUUGGGUUUAAAGGGUGCGUAGGCGGACUGUUAAGUCAGCGGUAAAAGCCCGGGGCUCAACCCCGGCGAGCCGUUGAAACUGGCUGUCUUGAGAUGUCGAGAGGUAUGCGGAAUGCGCAGUGUAGCGGUGAAAUGCAUAGAUAUCACGCAGAACCCCGAUUGCGAAGGCAGCCUGCCAAGCCAUGACUGACGCUGAUGCACGAAAGCGUGGGGAUCGAACAGG
rnacentral:rRNA from 1 species